rnacentral:tRNA from 1 species
GGGGAUGUAGCUCAAUGGUAGAGCAUUUGCCCAACAUGUGAGGACCUGAGUUCCAUCCUCAGUAACACCU